CUUCCUUUCCUUUCCUUCCCUUCCCUCCCUCUCUCCCUCCCUCCCUCCAGAAGGAUGCUGCCGGGGUUGGAUUUAUCUCGCUCCGCUCUCCAUCCCUCCCCGCUCCUUCCGUUUGGGAUCCGGCGCGCCGCAACCCCUCUUCUUGAUUCGCAUCGCUCCAGGCUGCGUCCCCCCUCCCUUCGGCAUCCCGGGGCGACCUUACCCACAGGCCGGGAGUUAGAAUCAUCAAACCACAGCAUCAUAGAAUCAUCACGGCUGGAAAAGACCUCCAAGAUCAAAUCCAACCCCAGCCCAUCCCACCGUGCCCACUGACCGUGUCCUUCAGUGCCACAUCUCCACGGUGACUCCAUCACUCCCAUGGGCAGCUGUGCCAAUGCAUCCCCUCUCCGUUAUCCACAGCUUUCCAGCCCUGGGGACUCCUUUCCAGACCAGUCAGUAUCUCCUGGUUGCUGCUGAGGUUAGGAGAGAGGAAAUUCAAGGGGUUGGGCUGCAGCAGGAAUCCUCCAGCACCUCUGCUGAACUCUGCAGACAUUUCCCCGAAGGGCACAGACAGCAUUAAGCAGAACUGCCAAGCUUUUUAAAAUAAUCGAGUGCAUUUGCGCACGAGGGGAAGUGAUACGGUGUUUGGAAUAAAAGGAACAAAGUUGGAAAAAAUACAAUAAAAAGCAAAUCAGCUUAUGGUAAUGGAGCAGACCCCUGGUUUGAGUGCAACACCGUGCGGAAGGAUGGAGAUGGCUCUUGCCGUCUUGGAUGACAAGUGGAUGGCACUGAGAUCUUGGAAGCUGAAAAUGAACCCAAUGGAAAACACUGUGGUUUCUCUGUUGUCUUCAAACCCCGAGGAAAUGCAGCUGACAUAAUGUGAGCAGAAGAGACCUGCUCUGGGAAGCCAUUCGGCG
ensembl:lncRNA